CUUGUUUUUUUCCCCCAAUCCAGACCCAAAACCUUUCCUCUAUAUCUCUUCUGACUUUUCUUAUUUUGACUCUCAUCUUUAUUGGCUCACACUUGAGGCAGCCUCUAGUCUAUGAUCUUUGAAUGAAGCCCUCUCUAAAUAUUAAGUUCAAAAUGUCAGGAAAUGAUAAACCCAUGUGGGGUAAUAAAAGAAUAUGCACAGAAAUGGGAAUUGCCUAUGUGCGGAUUAUCUUGAGUGUUGCUGACUACGGCUUGUUAGAGACACUGGAAAGCUUGCAUUAAUAUCACUUCUGAAUGUACAAAGGUUUUGGUUGUUAUGUAUGUUUGGUCUGAUAGUUGAGGAAGUUUUCAUAAUACCCUGCCUCCUUUGCUUCCUAUCUACACUAUAGAACAUAUCUUCAUCCAUGAAGAUCUCUCUUGGUGCUUCUAGGGUAUGUUCAACAAGAAAGGCAUUGUCUGCCAGAAAAACUAGCUAUAUUUGAUCUAUCUGAUAAAAUAAUUAAAUAAAUAAAAAUUCUGGAACAUGCUGAAAUAACUGGAAGAUCAUGACAUACACUAGAGACUGCAGGAGGUUAUGAUAAUAACCUCCCUAAUAGUUUUAAGGAUUUGUUCUGGUCACAUGCAUUUAAUAAGGAAGUAAUAUAAAAUGUUUGUCCCUAGCCUAGAGGACAGCCAGAUGGACAUUAGCCAAAUGUAAAUAGACUUUCUUCCUUCUUUAUAUUUGUGUUGCAAAGUUCAAAUGUGAUAAAGAAUAAUCAUUCUAUUUUAGUUGGCCAUUCAAGCAAAUGGCAGUUUGAGUAAUGUUUAACCCAGUGAUCAUAACAGAAUUUACCCUUAGCUUCAUCUUUUCCUGUAAUCUAAGACAAUGGUGCUCGAUUUCUAGUUAUCAUAAGGAAAGCAAUAGCAGUUUUAAAGUCUUUUUCCUUCAAUGGGAAUAAUCUAAGUACUUUAUAUUUCCAUAAUUAUUUAAUCCAAAUACAGUGUUGAUUUUCUCUAUUUAUAAUUGUCUCUUUUAUUUCCUCUUGUUAUAGCUAAGGAUAUAUAGUUUAUGUGACUUAUACAUUAGCAUCCUUUCGUAUCCCAGAAUACUACAAAGUAGAGCAUUUUGACUCAAGGAUCAUAAGAAGCCUCACUUGGGCUUUGUUUUAGUGGUGAUAGGGAUUGAAUCCAGUGCAUUGUGCAUGCUAGACAGGCACUCUACUACUAAGCUUGUUACAUUUUGUCAAGAGACUAAUUUGAACUUUCUUACAAAUAAUAUCCACUCUGUACUUAAUAUGCAGUUUAAUCAUUACAGCAACCCUGGGAAUCAACACACAAUUUUCAUUUACUGAGAUUAUAAAACAGUUUCAAUAAAAAAGCCAAGGCUCAGACCCAAGCAGCCUACCCUCACACUGUUCCCUCCACCUGUGCUCCUGAAUUCAACCCUGGCUAUUGUUUAAUCUGGCAACUUGAUAAGCUAUGAUAAAGGAUGUUAAUAAAGUAAGAGCAAGUAUGUAUUUAGGCAUGGUAUGAUGAAAAAACAUGUAUUAGACUUGUGCAUAGUCUCAGUGUUCUAUUGCUGAGACACCACAGCUAUGAGAUGCCAAACCUCAUCCAUCUGGGAAUUGGCCUCCAUCAUAA
rnacentral:lncRNA from 1 species